UACGGAGGGUGCAAGCGUUAUCCGGAUUCACUGGGUUUAAAGGGUGCGUAGGCGGGCAGGUAAGUCAGUGGUGAAAUCUCCGGGCUUAACCCGGAAACUGCCGUUGAUAAUAUCUGUCUUGAAUAUCGUGGAGGUAAGCGGAAUAUGUCAUGUAGCGGUGAAAUGCUUAGAUAUGACAUAGAACACCCAUUGCGAAGGCAGCUUACUACACGAUCAUUGACGCUGAGGCACGAAAGCGUGGGGAGCAAACAGG
rnacentral:rRNA from 1 species